rnacentral:tmRNA from 1 species
GGGGUAGUAAAGGUUUCGACAGGGGUUUUGAAGCUGGUGAAGCUAUUCGCAGGUGAUGCGUCAAAUCACAACAAUAAAUAUAAACGCUAACGAAAAAUUAGCUUACGCUGCCUAAUGGCAGCAGUCUGACCUAAAGCACCUACACUUUAGAAUUCAGGCUUCGACUAUGUAGGAAACGACACUGGCAAAGCUUUGAGUCAGUGGGCGUAUUAUGAAGCUACUAAAAUCAUACGGGUGCCGCUUCCUGUGUGAUGGAGGGAAUGAGGGUAACCAAAUUAACCGGCUAUAAUAGUAGAAGAACAGUGAAUUGAUCUUUGGACACGGGUUCGACUCCCGUCUACUCCACU